AGAAUCAACGCUGGCGGCGUGCCUAACACAUGCAAGUCGAACGCGAAAGGGGCUUCGGCCCUGAGUAGAGUGGCGAACGGGUGAGUAACACGUGGGUGAUCUACCUUUGAGUGGGGGAUAACGUCCCGAAAGGGACGCUAAUACCGCAUGACGUUCUGGGUUUAAAGACCUGGAAACCAAAGCCGGGGACCGCAAGGCCUGGCGCUUGAAGAGGAGCCCGCGUCCGAUUAGCUAGUUGGCGGGUAACGCCCACCAAGGCGACGAUCGGUA
rnacentral:rRNA from 1 species